AUUGAACGCUGGCGGCAUGCCUUACACAUGCAAGUCGAACGGCAGCAUGAUCUAGCUUGCUAGAUUGAUGGCGAGUGGCGAACGGGUGAGUAAUACAUCGGAACGUGCCCUGUAGUGGGGGAUAACUAGUCGAAAGAUUAGCUAAUACCGCAUACGACCUGAGGGUGAAAGUGGGGGACCGCAAGGCCUCAUGCUAUAGGAGCGGCCGAUGUCUGAUUAGCUAGUUGGUGGGGUAAAGGCCCACCAAGGCGACGAUCAGUAGCUGGUCUG
rnacentral:rRNA from 1 species